UGCAUUGAAUCUGGAUUCAAACAGUCGGAGCAAAGUUUAAUCUCAACAUUAACUCAUUCACUGCUGAAUUAUCUCACUCACAGCAAAGUGUUAACGUUUGAGAUGGGGAGAGGGAGCUGUCUGCCUCGGUCAGAAUUAGCUGCUAAUGAGAGAGUCACCCUGACCGCAGCCAUGAUAGUAUGACCCCUCACCCUGACUGCAGCCAGUGUGACCAUUCAGCCCUCACUGUGAACAUAGCCCUCACCGUUUAUGUGAAUUCCCAACAGCUAUUUCCUGAGCAUCACUCCGGGCUCCUUUAGUGCUUGGAAGGAGCUAUACAAAUGCACGCAGUUGUUCGAAGGGGCCAGGUUCCCCCUGAACCUGAGAUGUCCCGCAGCACCCAGCACCACCCCAGGACCCUCCGCCAGCGGAAUGCAGCGCACUCCCGCAGCCUCGGGCCGAAACUCCAUGUGGAUCUCUGCUUUAUAAGCAAAUCUUCGGUCCUCCUGCCAACUGGAAUAGAUGUCCCUGGGCUGGUUGAUCCGAGUGCCAGCUCAGUUUGCUGUCAGUGCCAGCGAAAGGUCCACUUCACUGUAAGUUGCUGCCAGCUGUUGCCUUUGCCCAAUGGGAGACUGGGAGACUUUUCCAUUUGUGUAUCAAUCAGCCUGGCACUCCUCUGAAAAACC